UUUGUUGUUACCGAAAGGAAACAAAAAUAUCAACUAUAAGAUGCAGAAAAAUUUGAGGUGUCGAGCUUGGGGAUUGGGGUGAUGACGAUUGGUGGUUAAAAGGGAUAAGGGCUGGUGAUAGUGCGGUGUAGGUUUGAAGGGAGGUAAUUGGGGUGGUGGGUUAAGGAGUUGAAGGUUGUGACAGCUUGGGGUGUGAAAAGCAAGAACGUGCGGCUGUUGCUGAAGAUGGCUAAGGGCGUGCGGCGCUAGGUGCAGCAGGGUGUUUGGUGUUGUUCGGUUAGAGGAAGGGUGCGA
rnacentral:lncRNA from 1 species